AUGCCGCCGCCGCCACCACUUCCCCCAUCCUCUUGGACGCCUCGUCUCUUCCACCUCCGCCUCCAUCACCUCCUCCUCCCCUGCCUCCGCACCCGACCACGUGCUGUGGACGAGGAGGCAACAGCUCGGGAGGCAGGCAAGAGGAAAAUGGGAGUGAUCCCCUCCCGAGCCCCGCGCCUCUCCUCUUUCCCACUGCGCCGCCAGCCCCUUUCCCUCCCAUCUCCAGCUGCUGCAGCUCCUCCCUCAACCCGCGGCGCGCCUUCUUCUCCGACCGUUGUUGCCCGCACUGCUACCGCCACGGCCUGCUACUGCUCCUCCUCCUCCAGCUCCUCGCCCCAGCGACGCUUUCUCCCCUCCUCUCAUGCAAGGCGUCUUGGGGUGUGGAGGCGGCGGGGCAGCAGCCAGUCGUUGCCCUGCAGGGGCAGCAACAGGUCGGCUAUCCUGUUGUGGCGGCGACACGUCUAG
rnacentral:rRNA from 1 species